rnacentral:rRNA from 1 species
UACAGAGGGGGCAAGCGUUGUUCGGAAUUACUGGGCGUAAAGGGCGCGUAGGCGGCCUCUUAAGUCGAACGUGAAAUCCCCGGGCUCAACCCGGGAACUGCGUCCGAUACUGGGAGGCUUGAAUCCGGGAGAGGGAUGUGGAAUUCCAGGUGUAGCGGUGAAAUGCGUAGAUAUCUGGAGGAACACCGGUGGCGAAGGCGGCAUCCUGGACCGGUAUUGACGCUGAGGCGCGAAAGCUAGGGGAGCAAAC